rnacentral:rRNA from 1 species
GACAGAGGGUGCAAACGUUGUUCGGAAUUACUGGGCGUAAAGCGCGUGUAGGCGGCUAUGUAAGUCGGGCGUGAAAUCCCAUGGCUCAACCAUGGAAGUGCACCCGAAACUGCGUAGCUAGAGUCCUGGAGAGGAAGGUGGAAUGCUUGGUGUAGAGGUGAAAUUCGUAGAUAUCAAGCGGAACACCGGUGGCGAAGGCGGCCUUCUGGGACAGUGACUGCACG